UUCCGGUUGAUCCUGCCGGAGGCCAUUGCUAUUGGGAUCCGACUUAGCCAUGCUAGUUGUACGAGUUCAGACUCGUGGCGAACAGCUCAGUAACACGUGGCCAAGCUACCCUCUGGACCGGAAUAACCUCGGGAAACUGAGAUUAAUACCGGAUACCGCUCCCAUCCUGGAAGUGGAGGGAGCCGGAAACGCUCCGGCGCCAGAGGAUGCGGCUGCGGCCGAUUAGGUAGACGGUGGGGUAACGGCCCACCGUGCCGAUAAUCGGUACGGGUGGUGAGAGCCAGAGCCCGGAGACGGUAUCUGAGACAGGAUACCGGGCCCUACGGGGCGCAGCAGGCGCGAAACCUUUACACUGUGCGCAAGCACGAUAAGGGGAUCCCAAGUGCGAGGGCAUACCGUCCUCGCUUUUCUGUACCGUUAGUGUGGUACAGGAAUA
rnacentral:rRNA from 1 species